rnacentral:rRNA from 1 species
AGAGUUUGAUCAUGGCUCAGAGCGAACGCUGGCGGCGUGCCUAACACAUGCAAGUUGAACGUGAAAGGGAGCAAUCCUGAGUAAAGUAGCGAACGGGUGAGUAACGCGUAGGUAAUCUACCCUAGAGAUUGGAAUAACCUGCCGAAAGGCGGGCUAAUACUAGAUAGAGCGACGGAAUCCGUAAUUGGGUUUUUCGGGAA